AGCUUUGCACAGUGGCGGUGUUGUAGCCAAUGAGGUUUAUCUGAGAUUAUUCCUAAUUAAAAGCUUUUCCCAAUACCCUGCCAUGAUGGUUUGAAAUAUAGUCAGCAUUGGCAAUUUUGGACAGUCUCUAUGGAGA